rnacentral:lncRNA from 1 species
AGAGUUAAAUUGUCUGCCAAACUCUGCUUUAAUGUCAAACUGUCGCUUUUACAGAGAAGAUAAAAGCUCAAAACAAACAAAAAUUUAAAAUAAAAUCACACAAAUCCACUGCAACUUUCAAAUAGCAUGCAGACAGCAGGGUGCCUUAUAAACAUCCCUGCUUACAAAGUCACCUUUUGAAAUACCAGCAAUUAUACUGCAUGAGGCACAGUUGCUACUCAUGUGCCAGUUGUCACUUUUUAAAAGAUGACUAUUAGUUAUAUUUCCUCCCUAUGAGACAUUGUGAAGCUUCUUAGCAUUUUGAGAAAGCAAGCAUGUAUUCCAAAAUGCAUAUAUCCUAGAAAAACAAACAAACAAACAAAACCCAAACCCACAACCAAACAACUUGGCAUUUAUAAAUGGCAUAGGAUAUUCAUGGCAUAACUAGAAGCUCAUUUUCUGUUGCAGGUGAGGGCUGCUGUCUGCACUCUCACUGCAACCUCACCAUGGAAAGACUGCCAUAAAUAUGUACAACAUGUAGGAGACCAAAAAGGAAGAAAGCAGGAGCAAGUUGUGGAAUAGAAAUGAAUCAGCUGAACAGAAUGAAACAGGACUCAGGGUCAUUGCUGGAAGAGGUAGAAGGUAUAAGCCACCAUGGGGUUUGAUGCCUACUGCUCUAAAAUGUUAUUGCUUCUGAUUUCCAUGUAGGGAGGAAACAUCUUCAUUGUUAUGGGAAGAGCUCUCAGUCAAUCAUUUGCAUCCACUGGCUACAAGCAACUUGGUAUGACGUUUAACUCAAUGUGCUUUGUCCUUUCCAGUGGUGUGUCUUUG